CGAUGUCGUCCUGGAGGACCCGAUAGAAGAGCUUCUCGUUCCUCUCCUGGAUCCCCAUGAGGUAAAUGUACUUCUGGAGGGGGUCGCUCAUCUUGGCCAUGUUCUUGUGGAAGCGUAAGGCUUGGAUGUCCUGCGUCUCGAUUUUGGGGGGGAGGAGGCCUUGGAGGCCCAACAUCUGCCGCUCCAACAACGUGAAAGCCAUGCCCUUGUUGGUACGAGGGUUGAGCAUGAGGGGUUUCCCCUUCUCCCUGGUGUGGACGCAGCGUUGUAGGGUCAGGCGGAAGCGGGACAGCAUGGCGUUAGCGGGCCUUCGGGUCCGCUUCGGGCCUUUAAAAGGGCUUUUUUUUCGCUGUGGAGAGCGGCAUCCGCCGGAGCUCCGCCCGCCUCGGCGGCCGCAGCCG
rnacentral:lncRNA from 1 species